GGCUGGUCGGCAAUGGGAAGAACUGCAGAAGCCAGAUGCGUUCAAUUAGGAGGGCGACUGGCCAAGGCGAAUCUCAGAGACAGAGAGAGAGACGGUGUAUGGGGUUGGGGUUGGUCAGCGAUGGUUCAAACUGCAUAAGCCAGAUCGUGACCAGUGAUAGGAGGGCAACCGGGCAUCUCAGAGACCAUGAGAGAGAGGAACAGAGGAAGGUUGAGGUCAAGGUGUGAGGUUUGAUGUGUGAAAGGUGAUUACUCACUUGCAAGAAAAAAAAUUGUGGGGGGCAAUAGUGGGGGUUUUCUAUAAUUUCAGUGAGGGCAAUUUAAAAAUUUUAUAGGUACAUAAUACCAAAAAAAUAUAUAUAUAUAUAUUAGUGGGGGCAAUUUCCUCCUCUGAGCCCUGAGCAGGUUCAUGCCUGCUUGCCUACAACCAUAUCAGGAGGGAGCUAUGUGUCGGGCAGACCACAAGCUUGUCCAUCAGAGUUGGUCUCUCAUUUCUUCAUCAAUUUGUGUGGUAUUAGACACUGGAAUUGAAAAUGUGUGUUCAUUUAGUGUAGCUAUCUCCAUCCAUCUUUGUCAAUGCCCCUUUAAGGCAUCAACAGGCACAUCAUUUUUUGUCAAUACCAGCCUGCAAUUUGGCUUCUAGAGAAGUCACUCAGGCCCCAAAACUGAUGAGGUCUACAAAAUUCAGGAAGGAAAGCCAUUUUUAAUGAUCUUCGAAAUUUUUUAACUCCUUGUAUGUAAAACAUGACUUCAUUUUGCCAGAAAUAUUGAAGGACUUUGUAUCAGUGAAUUCACUAUAUUUGAAGCUGAGUUUUUUUUAUAUAUCUUCAUUGAAGUGAGUUGUAAAUUUUAUAUAUGCAUCUACCUAUCCAAGCAAUUAUCUUUAACUGGUUCAAGCUUUGGUCAUUACCAAUCAAGAUAACAUGGCAAGAGAAGUCAUACUUCUCGUGAGUUGGAUCAACUUGAAAGUGCAAACUCAGUUCCGACGACUCCAACAUUGUUGCUGCUUUUCAAGGUUGUGUGAAUCUGAAAACCCUAAAACUCAACUCGAUCCAAUUAACCUCUGAAAUUCUUUUUGGAAUCAUAUCCAACUGUGAAUUAUUGGAGAAUUUGAGCAUAUGUUAUUGUGAGGGAUUAGAUUAUCUUAAGAUUAUUCACAAGUUUAAGUUUUUGGAACUCCAGAAAUUACAGCCAAUGAAGGUGGAUAUAUGUGGCAAGGGUGUCACUGUACUAGUGUUUCAUAGUGUUAGAUGCUACACCAGCAGUAUUUAUAUUAACUGCCCAAACCUUAAAGUAUUUCGAGCUUAUUGCAAAUGUCUCACAUAUUCUCCGAUUCUCCAAAGAUGUUUUGGUCUCCUGGUCGUGUGCCCAUCUACAAAAAAUGGACAUUAUAAAUUGGGUGAGUUGAUCCAAUGCCAAAACGUUACAGGAUAAUUUUACUUCACUGUAUUUUAGCAUUCUUUUCUUAUAUAUAGGAAUGACAAAGGCAAGUGCGACAAUAUUAGUUGCAUGUAAUCGAAUUCUGACAUAAAGCAGUAAUUUUUAUUUUUCGCAGUAAUUUUUAUUUUUCUUCAAGUGAAUUAAAGCACUAUUAUUCAAUGUAAAACAAUGUUAAAUAUCAGGUUUGCCUCCAUAUUCAUCAAAUAUUAAUAGUAAUAUAUAUAUAUUUUUUUCCUCACUAAUGUAGUAUUCUCAUUAUCCUUUUUUAAAAUUUCUCAAUCAAACCAAGCUCUAGCGAAGGCAAACGUCCAUAUUGUGAGUCUUAAGUUUUGGGAAAAAACAGAAUUGGCCUAUAGUAUAACUCAUCACCUCAGGGAGGUGCACAUAAUGGGUUUUUCAGGAUAGAAGAGAGAAAUGAGGCUUGCUUGUCAUCUUAUCACUAAUGCUACUAUGUUGGAGAAACUUGUGAUACGAUGCAACAAUAAUUGUUCGGGACAAUAAUUGUUCGGGACGAGGAGCAGUCACAGCGAGGAUCUUGCAAUUGCUGCCAAAGGCCUCCUUAAAUGCUGCUGUAAUCCUGAAACCGCACAUACUUGCAAUAAAUGCUGCCAAGUUUAUGAACGAGGUUGGUGGUGAUUUUGAUCAUUGGGUUUGUCACGGCAAUGAUACCGUGUUGAACUUCGCUUUUAAUUUCAAAUUUUAUAUUAUUUAUGGGGAAAGAUAUGUUAGUAUGAAAACUAUAUUUAUUUUGCUAUUUGGGAGAAGUUCAAUUUGAGGUUUUUUUUGCAAGAGAGCAUAUUUAGCUAUAUUUAUGGGCUAAUCUUUGUAAUAUUUAUAGCUCUCGUUACUUGCAUUCUGGAAGCAUUGGAAGAAAAUUGCAAAUUGAAUUUUAUUAAAUGUAUUUUGCACUUUCAACUUC